UUACAAAAAUCACCAGUUAAAGCAAACGGCCAGGUGCAAUGGCACAAGCCUGUAAUCCCAGCACUUUGGGAGGCUGAGGCGGGUGGAUCACCUGAGGUCAUGAGUUUGAGAUCAGCCUGACCAACAUGGAGAAACUCCAUCUCUA